GACGAACGCUGGCGGCGUGCCUAAUACAUGCAAGUUGAGCGCUGAAGGUUGGUACUUGUACCGACUGGAUGAGCAGCGAACGGGUGAGUAACGCGUGGGGAAUCUGCCUUUGAGCGGGGGACAACAUUUGGAAACGAAUGCUAAUACCGCAUAAAAACUUUAAACACAAGUUUUAAGUUUGAAAGAUGCAAUUGCAUCACUCAAAGAUGAUCCCGCGUUGUAUUAGCUAGUUGGUGAGGUAAAGGCUCACCAAGGCGAUGAUACAUAGCCGACCUGAGAGGGUGAUCGGCCACAUUGGGAAUGAGACACGGCCCAAACUCCUACGGGAAGCAGCAGGAGGGAAUCUUCGGAAAUGGACGAAAGUCUGACCGAGCAAAGCCGCGUGAGUGAAGAAGGGUUUCGGAUCGUAAAACUCUGUUGGUAGAGAAGAACGUUGGUGAGGGUGGAAAGCUCAUCAAGUGACGGUAACUACACAGAAAGGGACGGCUAACUACGUG
rnacentral:rRNA from 1 species